rnacentral:rRNA from 1 species
AUUGAACGCUGGCGGCAUGCUUUACACAUGCAAGUCGAACGGUAACAGGCCGCAAGGUGCUGACGAGUGGCGAACGGGUGAGUAAUGCAUCGGAACGUGCCCAGUCGUGGGGGAUAACGCAGCGAAAGCUGCGCUAAUACCGCAUACGAUCUAUGGAUGAAAGCGGGGGACCGUAAGGCCUCGCGCGAUUGGAGCGGCCGAUGUCAGAUUAGGUAGUUGGUGGGGUAAAGGCUCACCAAGCCAACGAUCUGUAGCUGGUCUGAGAGGACGACCAGCCACACGGGGACUGGGACACGGCCCAGACUCCUACGGGAGGCAGCAGUGGGGAAUUUUGGACAAUGGGCGCAAGCCUGAUCCAGCAAUGCCGCGUGCAGGAAGAAGGCCUUCGGGUUGUAAACUGCUUUUGUACGGAACGAAACGGUCCGGGUUAAUACCCUGGGCUAAUGACGGUACCGUAAGAAUAAGCACCGGCUAACUACGUGCCAGCCGCCGCCGUAACAC